GUGAAAUCCAGAGCAAGGGAGCUAUUGCCAUCUGCUGGAAGAAUUAUAUAUAAUUUCCAGCAAGAUUAACCACUAUAGCAUGCUGGAAAGCCAGAAGCUCUUUCAUUUGAGCUAUUGUGGCUAUAUAGGGCUUAGCUCAUUGGCUGAGAGCACUGAUGAUCUCAGCCAAUGAUUCAUGCCUGCACUGCAGGGCACAGCUCAGGGGAGAAAUUGGAA